rnacentral:lncRNA from 1 species
AUCCAUGAAAGACUUUCAGUCCAAUGAUGAUUCAAAAUUGGAGAACUCAAUAGCGACCUGCCUGAGGUGGUACAAUCCAUCUCAGAGCCUACAUGUGGCAAUCUCCUUGAAGGUCCGACAGCCGACCUCCUCAUCCUCAGGAGUCUCGAAUUGGUAGUAUGACUGCAAAUAAAGGAUGGCAUAUAUUAAUAAAUAGAAUACAAAUGUACCAACAAAUAAUAAAUUUAAAAAUUAAACACCUUUGACUUACCAUGAACAUCUCCCACGCAAUGUCAUAAGCCCCCCGAUGGCUAACUGGAGAACCCAUUCAUCGAUCCUGACAUCAAUCGUCGGA